UUCAUUACAAGAUGUUAAGCUACCUAUCUAUGUAAAGAUUAGAUUAUUUCUGUGGCCUCGUGCGCGCUGGCCCCCUUUGACCGUCAAACAAACUCGCCAAAGUCACUAAUAUUAAAACUCAAACUUUUGUAACAAGCUCUUGACAACAGAAGCUGGAAUGCCAGAAAUGUUGCGUAUCUGGAGUUUUCUGGGUCUCACUGAAGGUGAUAAAGACGACAAACUGUUUCAGCGCCAGACUGUUCUAACUCGAAGGCAAAGCAUAAGUAAGGAAAAUGCUUCAAAGAAUUUUAAACGCCACACUUCCAAAUGGCUGACCUCAUUGAAAAAAGUUCAGAAGCAAAAAGUUACUUACUAUUUCGCAUGAACUGAAGUUGCUCAAAUGUGAGCAAGAUUUCCUGUACCUCAGCCAGUUUUUCCAGAUCGACUAGUACUUCCUCGGCCGAUAGUUCUAAGGUAUUACGUCUUCUGUAC